AACGAACGCUGGCGGCAUGCCUAACACAUGCAAGUCGAACGAGACCUUCGGGUCUAGUGGCGCACGGGUGCGUAACGCGUGGGAACCUGCCCUUAGGUUCGGAAUAACUCCCCGAAAGGGGUGCUAAUACCGGAUAAUGUCUUCGGACCAAAGAUUUAUCGCCUUUGGAUGGGCCCGCGUUGGAUUAGCUAGUUGGUAGGGUAAAAGCCUACCAAGGCGACGAUCCAUAGCUGGUCUGAGAGGAUGAUCAGCCACACUGGGACUGAGACACGGACCAGACUCCGACGGGAGGGAGCAGUGUGGAAUAUUGGACGAUGGGCGAAAGCGUGAUCCAGCAAUGCCGCGUGAGUGAUGAAGGCGUUAGGGUUGUAAAGCUCUUUUACCCGGGAUGAUAAAGACAGUACCGGGAGAAUAAGCACCGGCUAACUCCGUG
rnacentral:rRNA from 1 species